GACAAGAAAAUCAAAUAUCAUUGACAUUAAGAGAAAAGAAAGAAAAAGAAAAUAUUGAUUUAAACUGGAUAAGAAGGUCUGAAAUAUGAGUGGAAGGAUUGAUGGAUUUACUUACGCCUUUAGGACGUAACAUACUAAAAUUUCCAAAUGAGGAUUUGAUUUUCACCAAAAUAUUCUUUUUCUUUUUCUAUCAGCCGUCCCCUUCCCAAGAAAAAGUAUAACAUGAUCUGGUAGAUGCUUUAGACAUCUAAUAGGAAAAGAUGGCGUUUGGCGUAUUGGCUGAAACCAUACGGAAUUUAAG
rnacentral:lncRNA from 1 species